GGGGUUGUGGCUCAUUGGUAGAGUGCUUGCCUAGCGUGCAUGAGGCACUGGGUUCGAUCCUCAGAACCACA
rnacentral:tRNA from 1 species